rnacentral:tRNA from 1 species
GGAGAGGUGGCUGAGUGGCCGAAAGCAACGGUUUGCUAAACCGUCAUACGGGUAACACUGUAUCAGGGGUUCGAAUCCCCUCCUCUCCGCCA